rnacentral:tRNA from 1 species
GCGGUUGUGGCUCAGCGGUAAAGCGCUCACCUAGCAUGUGUGUGAGGCCUUGGGUUCGAUCCUCAGCACCACA